rnacentral:rRNA from 1 species
UAAGGAAUUUUGCACAAUGGGCGAAAGCCUGAUGCAGCAACGCCGCGUGAACGAUGAAGUUUUUAGGAAUGUAAAGUUCUGUCGUAUGGGAAGAGAUCUUUCGAAUGUUAAUACCAUUCGUUAAUGACGGUACCAUACAAGAAAGCACCGGCUAACUUCGUGCCAGCAGCCGCGGUAAUACGAGGGGUGCUAGCGUUGUCCGGAUUUACUGGGCGUAAAGGGUACGUAGGCGUUUUAAUAAGUUGUAUGUUAAAUAUCUUAGCUUAACUAAGAAAAUGCAUCCAAAACUGUUAAAAUAGAGUUUGAGAGAGGAACGCAGAAUUCAUGGUGGAGCGGUGACAUGCGUAGAUAUCAUGAGGAAAGUCAAAUGCGAAGGCAGCCUUCUGGCUCAAAACUGACGCUGAGGUACGAAAGCGUGGGGAGCGAACAGG